rnacentral:rRNA from 1 species
UGCUUCGCUGACGAGUGGCGGACGGGUGAGUAAUGUCUGGGAAACUGCCUGAUGGAGGGGGAUAACUACUGGAAACGGUAGCUAAUACCGCAUAACGUCGCAAGACCAAAGAGGGGGACCCUCGGGCCUCUUGCCAUCGGAUGUGCCCAGAUGGGAUUAGCUUGUUGGUGGGGUAACGGCUCACCAAGGCGACGAUCCCUAGCUGGUCUGAGAGGAUGACCAGCCACACUGGAACUGAGACACGGUCCAGACUCCUACGGGAGGCAGCAGUGGGGAAUAUUGCACAAUGGGCGCAAGCCUGAUGCAGCCAUGCCGCGUGUAUGAAGAAGGCCUUCGGGUUGUAAAGUACUUUCAGCGAGGAGGAAGGUGUUGUGGUUAAUAACCGCAGCAAUUGACGUUACUCGCAGAAGAAGCACCGGCUAACUCCGUGCCAGCAGCCGCGGUAAUACGGAGGGUGCAAGCGUUAAUCGGAAUUACUGGGCGUAAAGCGCACGCAGGCGGUCUGUCAAGUCGGAUGUGAAAUCCCCGGGCUCAACCUGGGAACUGCAUCCGAAACUGGCAGGCUAGAGUCUUGUAGAGGGGGGGUAGAAUUCCAGGUGUAGCGGUGAAAUGCGUAGAGAUCUGGAGGAAUACCGGUGGCGAAAGGCGGCCCCCUGGACAAAGACUGACGCUCAGUGCGAAAGCGUGGGGAGCAAACAGGAUUAGAUACCCUGUAGUCCACGCCGUAAACGAUGUCGACUUGGGAAGGUUGUGCCCUUUGAGGCGUGGCUUCCGGAGCUAACGCGUUAAGUCGACGCCUG